CAUGCAGUCGACGGAAGGUCUCUUCGGAGAUACUCGAGUGGCGAACGGGUGAGUAACACGUGGGUGAUCUGCCCUGCACUUCGGGAUAAGCCUGGGAAACUGGGUCUAAUACCGGAUAGGACCACGGGAUGCAUGUCUUGUGGUGGAAAGCGCUUUAGCGGUGUGGGAUGAGCCCGCGGCCUAUCAGCUUGUUGGUGGGGUGACGGCCUACCAAGGCGACGACGGGUAGCCGGCCUGAGAGGGUGUCCGGCCACACUGGGACUGAGAUACGGCCCAGACUCCUACGGGAGGCAGCAGUGGGGAAUAUUGCACAAUGGGCGCAAGCCUGAUGCAGCGACGCCGCGUGGGGGAUGACGGCCUUCGGGUUGUAAACCUCUUUCACCAUCGACGAAGGUCCGGGUUCUCUCGGAUUGACGGUAGGUGGAGAAGAAGCACCGGCCAACUACGUGCCAGCAGCCGCGGUAAUACGUAGGGUGCGAGCGUUGUCCGGAAUUACUGGGCGUAAAGAGCUCGUAGGUGGUUUGUCGCGUUGUUCGUGAAAUCUCACGGCUUAACUGUGAGCGUGCGGGCGAUACGGGCAGACUAGAGUACUGCAGGGGAGACUGGAAUUCCUGGUGUAGCGGUGGAAUGCGCAGAUAUCAGGAGGAACACCGGUGGCGAAGGCGGGUCUCUGGGCAGUAACUGACGCUGAGGAGCGAAAGCGUGGGGAGCGAACAGGAUUAGAUACCCUGGUAGUCCACGCCGUAAACGGUGGGUACUAGGUGUGGGUUUCCUUCCUUGGGAUCCGUGCCGUAGCUAACGCAUUAAGUACCCCGCCUGGGGAGUACAGCCGCAAGGCUAAAACUCGAAGGAAUUGACGGGGGCCCGCACAAGCGGCGGAGCAUGUGGAUUAAUUCGAUGCAACGCUAAGAACCUUACCUGGGUUUGACAUGCACAGGACGCGUCUAGAGAUAAGCGUUCCCUUGUGGCCUGUGUGCAGGUGGUGCAUGGCUGUCGUCAGCUCGUGUCGUCAGAUGUAGGGU
rnacentral:rRNA from 1 species